CCUACGGGUGGCAGCAGUGAGGAAUAUUGGUCAAUGGGCGGAAGCCUGAACCAGCCAAGUCGCGUGAGGGAUUAAGGCCCUGCGGGUCGUAAACCUCUUUUGCCGGGGAGCAGGGGUCGGGACGUGUCCGGUCCUGGGGAGUCCCCGGAGAAAAAGCAUCGGCUAACUCCUUGCCAGCAGCCGCGGUAAUACGGAGGAUGCGAGCGUUCUCCGGAUUUAUUGGGUUUAAGGGGUGGGUAGGCGGGCAUUUAAGCCGGCGGUAAAAUGUCGGGGCUCAACCCGGGCCUGCCGUUGGAACUGGGUGCCUUGAGUGGGCGAGAAGUAGGCGGAAUGCGUGGUGUAGCGGUGAAAUGCAUAGAUAUCACGCAGAACCCCGAUUGCGAAGGCAGCAUACCGGCGCGCUACUGACGCUGAGGCACGAAAGUGCGGGUAUCGAACAGGAUUAGAUACCCGUGUAGUC
rnacentral:rRNA from 1 species